rnacentral:rRNA from 1 species
UACGUAGGGUCCAAGCGUUAUCCGGAAUCACUGGGCGUAAAGCGUGCGUAGGCGGGUGUUUAAGUGCAAUGCGAAAUCCUGUGGCUCAACCAUAUGGACUGUAUCGCAUACUGGAUACCUGGAGGAAUGCAGAGGCAAGUGGAAUUACUGGUGUAGCAGUGAAAUGCGUAGAGAUCAGUAGGAACACCAAUGGCGAAGGCAGCUUGCUGGGCAUUUUCUGACGCUAAGGCACGAAAGCGUGGGGAGCGAACAGG